rnacentral:lncRNA from 1 species
GUACCAGAUACAAGUCCCCAUGGGAAAAUCACAAAAUCACUCGAGCUGCAUGCUUCUCUAGACCAAAGAUGUGGCAGCAUUGCAUCCUUUUCUGCUUUUUUCUUUUGGAUAAUAAGCCUUUAGGCUGGACGCCAGCCAGUGAAGCACAAAAAUUUAGCAUUGACUGAAGUCCUUGAACAGUGGGCUAAUUUGCCAGCAAAAGAUGCAGCAUGAAAGUCUUACUAUUCCCUGGAAAAAUUUUAGGGGUUCAUUGCAAACCAACCUUGCCUUCAGGAUCAACGAAUAAUGGCUUUUCUAGUUUAAUGAUCCUUUUUUCUCAGAGGUUUCUUUGCUUGGUUUUUGAAAUAAUCAAGGAUUAGCCACCUCAGAUUUCUUUUUCUUUUCUGUUCUUUCUUGUUAAGUUUAGGGAGAGAUGAGUCAUUUUGCUUCUUUUAUUUCAAUGCAUCAUAGGCCAUAAAUCAAGCAAUUGUUAAGAAUUAGCCUAAAGGCUUUGGUGGUUCUUAGUGAUCUCUCUUCAUUUCUUGUUAUUUUUCUCUUUAAUUUUUCAUUGUCUUUGCUCUAGCUGUUGUUGAUGGUGAUCUAGGGUAUUAUCAUGUGGGAGUACAGUUUGUCAUGUGGAGCUGGUGUCUUUACAAGGCUGAGUUAUUAAACUUCACCAAGCAUCCCCAUCUGAGUCUUCCCCUAUUGCUGAAUGACACUCAAAAAACUUUAUAGUGCUUUCUCCCAAAAACCAUCUUAAGAUGGUUGAAGUAAACAAGGUUAUUCUGGACAAGCCUGAAAUCUCUAUCAUUAUUUUCUAAGGAAUUUUGGCUCUCCAAUCCCCACCCUGCUUUUUCUAUUUUUAAGUGAAACUCAUGAAUAGAAUCUGAGCAAAUAAGAUGUCUAUCAUUUAUUUGCUAGGAAAUUUUCUCCUACACCCUUAUCCCCACCCUGCUUUUUCCAUUUUUACACAAAUUUUAUGAAAAGAAUCUGAACAAAUAUGAGAUCUCUAUCAUUUAUUUGCUAAGAAAUUUUCACCCACCACCCUGCUUUUUUCAAUGUUUAAGCGAAUUUAAUGAAGAGAAUCUGAAGAAGCAAGUGAUCUCUAUCAUUUCUUUGUUAGGAAAUUUUCUCCUAGACUUUCCCACCCCCCCCCCCGGCCCUUUUCUCAAAAAAAAAAAAAAGAAAGGAUGUUCUCAGUCUUCUCCCAUCAUUGUCGAGCCCCAAGUUCAUAUCAUUGUGGUGUACUGGAUAUCUGUCGCGCACUUGUGCCGUCCAUUUAGUUUCAAGUUCUUCGGCAUGUAUUUAGGUUUCCACCUACAUCCAGACUCCUUUCGAAUUCUUUUAUCUUGUAUUGGGUUAUUGAAGGUUUUCACAUACCCAUUUCCUAUUUCUUUCAAUCUUUUUUGCAAUUGAAAAACAUUUAGGAAGUGUUCGGUUGGGGGUUGGGGUCUGGAAUCGAAAUGGAAAUGAGUGACUCCCAUUCCAACCAUUUGAUUGGGAGGAGUCCCAUUCUGAUUCCAAAUCUGGGACGGAAUGGGAAUGGCCCAAUCUAUCUAAAACUCAAUUCCUACUCUCCCCCAAGGAUUCAAAUUUCUAAUUCCGAUUUCGAUCACAAACCAAAUGCUUUGGGAGAUUUGGCCAUUCCGAUUCCGAUUCUAAUUGUG